rnacentral:rRNA from 1 species
GAUGAACGCUGGCGGCGUGCCUAAUACAUGCAAGUCGAGCGAACGGACGAGAAGCUUGCUUCUCUGAUGUUAGCGGCGGACGGGUGAGUAACACGUGGAUAACCUACCUAUAAGACUGGGAUAACUUCGGGAAACCGUAGCUAAUACCGGAUAAUAUUUUGAACCGCAUGGUUCAAAAGUGAAAGACGGUCUUGCUGUCACUUAUAGAUGGAUCCGCGCUGCAUUAGCUAGUUGGUAAGGUAACGGCUUACCAAGGCAACGAUGCAUAGCCGACCUGAGAGGGUGAUCGGCCACACUGGAACUGAGACACGGUCCAGACUCCUACGGGAGGCAGCAGUAGGGAAUCUUCCGCAAUGGGCGAAAGCCUGACGGAGCAACGCCGCGUGAGUGUUGAAGGUCUUCGGAUCGUAAAACUCUGUUAUUAGGGAAGAACAUAUGUGUAAGUAACUGUGCACAUCUUGACGGUACCUAAUCAGAAAGCCACGGCUAACUACGUG